ensembl:antisense Gm28750 predicted gene 28750
AUGCUAUAGGGUCGCAAAGGGCUGCAGGUAGCUAAUUGGUCCUCUGGUAGAAACAGUGAUGUCUGUUUUACAAAGCCCACAAAGCAACAACAAGCUCUGAGCUCUGAGGAUCUCGGCUGAAGGCUCUACAGCAAUGUGUAGAGGCAAAACAAUAUCCUGGGAAGUGAGAGACAAGCAGAUGGAGUAUGUGUGCGAAACACACGAGAGGAAAUGGAUGAUGCUUCAGGCAGGCGGCAGAAGGAAGAAGCAAGAGUCAAGGGCAGAAUGGGAGACACAGCAAACUGGAUCCGGCAUUCAGCAUCAAUCAUAUGUGAAAUAAGUAAGAUCAUUGGAGAACAACCUAGUUAAGAUUCUGCCAGAUGAAGGUAAUGUAUUUUUGGAAUUCUGGGGACUCUAGAGACAGAUUAAAUGUGAGAGUCCAGCAAGCCUAUGGCAGGCCGCUGCUGCUAUCCCUGAUGCUCCCUGAUGCUCCUGGUUGCUAUUGUGGAGAUAUGUUCUUACUCUUAAGAUUCCUCUCUUACUUGGAUACUGGAUCAUAGUAUCAAACCAAGUAACCAAUUCUGAAAUUAAUAAUGGCUCAAACUUUGCUUUGUGAUUGACACAGAGUACAGUGGGAUUUUCUGUAACAAUUGCUACACUGUAGGAUUCAGAGUCGAGCAGUUGUUUG